rnacentral:rRNA from 1 species
AAUAUUGGACAAUGGGCGAAAGCCUGAUCCAGCCAUGCUGCGUGCGUGAAGAAGGUCUUCGGAUUGUAAAGCACUUUAAGUUGGGAGGAAGGGCAGUAAGUUAAUACCUUGCUGUUUUGACGUUACCGACAGAAUACGCACCGGCUAACUUCGUGCCAGCAGCCGCGGUAAUACGACGGGUGCAAGCGUUAAUCGGAAUUAUUUGGAGUAAAGCGCUCGUAGGUUGUUUGUUAAGUUGGAAGUGAAAGCCCCGGGCUCAACCUGGGACCUGCUUUCAUAACUGCUGAGCUAGAGUACGGUAGAGGGUAGUGGAAUUUCCUGUGUAGCGGUGAAAUGCGUAGAUAUAGGAAGGAACACCAGUGGCGAAGGCGACUACCUGGACUGAUACUGACACUGAGGCGCGAAAGCGUGGGGAGCAAAC